UACGUAGGGUGCAAGCGUUGUCCGGAAUUAUUGGGCGUAAAGAGCUCGUAGGCGGUUUGUUGCGUCGGCUGUGAAAUCCCGAGGCUCAACCUCGGGUCUGCAGUCGAUACGAGCAAACUAGAGUGUUGCAGGGGAGACUGGAAUUCCUGGUGUAGCGGUGAAAUGCGCAGAUAUCAGGAGGAACACCGAUGGCGAAGGCAGGUCUCUGGGCAUUAACUGACGCUGAGGAGCGAAAAGCAUGGGGGAGCGAACAGG
rnacentral:rRNA from 1 species